rnacentral:lncRNA from 1 species
CAGUAUUCGACAUCAACGCCAUAGAGGAGCCAUGGAUGAAGGCCUUGGAAGCCCACCAGCAACAACAACAAUCCGACCACCCCGAUGAAAAAGAAAAACCUGCUCACGCAGUCCCACCUCCGCUCCUUGAGAAGCUUAACGCCAUCGAAGAUGCUCCUCGUUCCUGGGACGAGGUCAGCAAAGUCCUCAACGACCUCAAGCCCACCUUGCACAACAACUCCACACCUCCCCCCACACAUCCUAAGCCCAUCCUCCUCCUUGCUGCCCCCAAAACUCCCCUCCUCCGCUCUCCAUCACCGCCCACU